rnacentral:rRNA from 1 species
ACCAGACUCCUACGGGAGGCAGCAGUGGGGGAUAUUGCACAAUGGGGGGAACCCUGAUGCAGCGACGCCGCGUGGGUGAAGAAGCGCCUCGGCGCGUAAAGCCCUGUCAGCAGGGAAGAAAAUGACGGUACCUGAAGAAGAAGCCCCGGCUAACUACGUGCCAGCAGCCGCGGUAAUACGUAGGGGGCAAGCGUUAUCCGGAUUUACUGGGUGUAAAGGGGGCGCAGACGGCGAUGCAAGCCAGGAGUGAAAGCCCGGGGCCCAACCCCGGGACUGCUCUUGGAACUGCGUGGCUGGAGUGCAGGAGGGGCAGGCGGAAUUCCUGGUGUAGCGGUGAAAUGCGUAGAUAUUAGGAGGAACACCAGUGGCGAAGGCGGCCUGCUGGACGACAACUGACGGUGAGGCGCGAAAGCGUGGGGAGCAAACAGGAUUAGAUACCCGCGUAA